rnacentral:lncRNA from 1 species
AUAUUUCCUAAGGUGACUUAUUUAUUUCCAAGACAACACAAAUCACCUGGUGCCACUGCGAGACAGACAGAGGAAAACAUCCUUCCAGUUUUGUCCAGAAGGAAGCAGCUGGGACAGCAUUGCAAGGAGUCUUCCAAAGUGUGCAAAGUUUUUGAUGAGUUGAGAAAUGAGAAUAACAGAACUACUGAAACCCCACGGCAUCAGAAAUCUAGUGCUUUAAUCUCAUGUGAAAUGAAUACUGUGCCUCUAACUCUUGAAGAGGUAGCUCUGAAGCAUCCAGUGCUGGAAGCUAAAUCAAGAGUUAUGAAUUACACUGCUAAAGAAGAAAUCUCCCAAACUGGAAAAGAAUGUUGAAGCUAGAAAUGGUCUUUUUAAAAUUUCUCUAAAAGCUACAUCAGGUACAGACAAUAUAAAUAUUUAGGAGUCUCAGUAUUGGUGAUCAUCCUGGCCUUUUGCAUGAAGGUAAGAAUUUUUGCUGCUCUUUUAUCUUCCAUUUCUGUAA